ensembl:lncRNA
GAUAAGGUUUCCCUGUGUAACGCUGGCUUUCCUAGUAUUAGUUCCGUGAGUAGGCUGGCCUCCUACCCUUUAGUCCCUCUCAAGUGCUGGAAUUAAAGGAAAGUGCUUCUCAAACUUGAGCAUGCAGGAAACCUCUUGGUGUAAGGUCUUUGAUAUUCUAGUUUGAUUCAAGAACAUAUGAGAUACAACGUUACCAGCCAUCUUAUGCUCGCUACAGCAUCGCUGCCAGGAUGGACAAUUCCUAUAAAGGACUAACCAAAGCAAACGUUCCUUCCAUUGAAUUGCUACUAGUCAGCUUAGUAAACAUCAACUCUUAGAGGCAGUGAAAGAAGUUUUCCUUGAAAAGACACUUCAAAUUCAGGUCUCUCAAAUUAAAAAGUGAACACCAAGUUCAAAUUUGACAUCAAAAAAAUUCCGUCUUAGUUAUGGCUUUACUGCUGUGAACAGACCCCAUGACCAAGGCAACUCUUAUAAGGACAACAUUUAAUUGGGGGCUGGCUUACAGAUUUAGAGGUUCAGUCCAGUAUCAUCAAGGCAAGAACAUGGCAGCAUCCAGGCAGGCAUGCUGCAGGAGGAACUGAGAGUUCUACAUCUUCAUCUGAAGGCUGCUAGGAGAAGACUCACUUCCAGGCAGUUAGGGAAGAGCCCACACCCACCGUGACACACCUACUCCAACAAGGCUACACCUCCUAAUAGUGUGAACAA